CUACAGCGAGCGGUCUACUCCGAACUCCUACAGCAAGUGGUCUACUCCGAACUCCUACAGUGGGCGGUCUACUCUAGAUCUCUACUGUAAGCAAAUUUCAUUCGAGCCCCUACUGUAAACACGCCUUUUUCGAACUUCCAUUACAGGUAGACUUCAGUCGAGCUUCUUCGUAGCUGGAUCCCAGACGAGCUUCUUCGUAGUCGAAUCCCAAACGAGCUUCUACGAUGGACUGACUCUUGCAAUUGGAUUCUUACAACGAUCGAUCACCUCUGACAUCUGCCGAACAUCCCUAGCACCAUCCGAAGUCCAUCGCCGGCCGACCCCCCACC
rnacentral:lncRNA from 1 species